rnacentral:rRNA from 1 species
UGAGGAAUAUUGGUCAAUGGCCGCAAGGCUGAACCAGCCAUGCCGCGUGAAGGUCAGUGCCCUAUGGGCGUUAAACUUCUUUUGUCAGGGAGCAAUAAGGGUUUCGUGAAAUCCGAUGAGAGUACCUGACGAAUAAGCAUCGGCUAACUCCGUGCCAGCAGCCGCGGUAAUACGGGGGAUGCGAGCGUUAUCCGGAUUUAUUGGGUUUAAAGGGUGCGUAGGCGGCUUGGUAAGUCAGCGGUGAAAUUCCAGUGCUCAACAUUGGCCGUGCCGUUGAUACUGCUGGGCUUGAAUGCGGAUGCCGUGGGAGGAAUGUGUGGUGUAGCGGUGAAAUGCAUAGAUAUCACACAG